GGAAUAUUGGACAAUGGGGGCAACCCUGAUCCAGCAAUGCCGCGUGAGUGAUGAAGGCCUUCGGGUUGUAAAGCUCUUUUGCCAGGGACGAUGAUGACGGUACCUGGAGAAUAAGCCCCGGCUAACUUCGUGCCAGCAGCCGCGGUAAUACGAAGGGGGCGAGCGUUGUUCGGAAUUACUGGGCGUAAAGGGCGCGUAGGCGGUUUGACAAGUCAGGCGUGAAAUUCCCGGGCUUAACCUGGGGGCUGCGUUUGAUACUGUCGAGCUUGAAUUCGGGAGAGGAUGGCGGAAUUCCCAGUGUAGAGGUGAAAUUCGUAGAUAUUGGGAAGAACACCGGUGGCGAAGGCGGCCAUCUGGCCCGACAUUGACGCUGAGGCGCGAAAGCGUGGGGAGCAAACAGGAUUAGAUACCCUGGUAGUCCACGCCGUAAACGAUGAGUGCUAGACGUUGGCGAGCUUGCUCGUCAGUGUCGCAGCUAACGCUUUAAGCACUCCGCCUGGGGAGUACGGCCGCAAGGUUAAAACUCAAAGGAAUUGACGG
rnacentral:rRNA from 1 species